rnacentral:lncRNA from 1 species
GGUCCUAGAUCAUCAGGGAUGUCAUGGACUAGGUUUUCAUCGAUCAAUAUUUGAGCUCAAACAUGGGUUUGGUUUGUCUCUUGCAACACAUUCCUCAAAUUUGAGAUUAAACUCCUUGCCUCCUCACCCACCAUCGUCACACCCUGGAGGACUCUUUUUUUUUUUUUAAAUAUGAAUAGAGAAUUGUAGGACAGUAAUGCCAUAGUCUUCUCUAUUCCUACAUGAUUGUAGUGAUGUUUGAUUGCUCAUAGAAAAACAUAGAAACGUUUCAAAGAGGUUGGAUACAGUUGAAUUUUUCCUAUGAACCCUUAGGAAAGAAUCAUAUUUUUCCAAUAAAGGUCAAUUUUAUUGGUGCACCCAGCUGAUACACAUUAUAAGGAAGGGGUCAUACUAGUUUCAAUCCUAGAAAUCCAACCACAUAGAGGAAGACUCUUUUCAAGUUUCUUUGGAUAAGAAGGCCUACAGUGGUACUCCCAGAUCAGGUUUUGUUUGUUUGCCCAAGUGUUCAUCAACUGCUUGGAGAAGUUGCACUGGAUGUGGCCGAAGGUCGGUUGCUGAGUGAUGCAAAGUGUACGGGAAAUCAUGCUGUUAGUCCAACCCAUGUUCACCAAUAUGUAGUGUUUAACAAUGUUUACUGCAUUAGUAACUAUUUUACAGUCUUUGCAAAAAAAAUUAACCAUUUUACAGCUGUCAAUGGUGAUUUUUUUUUUCUGCAUCAGAUAAGAAAUUUGUUGCUAAAUAAAGGAAUUCUUGAUAUCAGGUUGCCAUUGGCUCUUUCCAAAAGUUGGUUUUGGGAAACUUGACGCAGUGGAUUAUCUAGGUCAGCAUUUCUUUAUUUACGAUUCUUUUUGUUUACUACCAUUUUUGCUUCAAAUUAAUGCUAGUAUAAUUUACACUUGCAGCACUGGGAACCAUAUUUUCUUCAACAGACACUGUGUGCACUCUGCAGGUCCGUUGGGUGGUUACUUUCGAACUUCCUAGUGUUUUCUCAAACAAUUGUAUUUCAACGAUCCAUUUAAUCUCUUGAGCUCAAACUCAGGUCAUAAGUCAAGAUGAGACACCCAGGUUGUACAGCUUGGUAUUUGGUGAAGGAGUCGUCAAUGAUGCUACAUCAGUGGUCCUAUUCAAUGCUAUAAAGAACCUGGAUAUCAAUAGGCUCAAACGCGGGGUGGUUUUAAAAGUUAUCGCAGAUUUCCUAUAUCUGUUUGCAACUAGUACCAUCCUCGGAGCUACAGUAAUGGCGUCAUCUUUAACAUCUCAAUUCUUUGGUCUCUAUUAAUUAUUGUGUUUAUAUAUUUUUCAGAAUCAUUGCAUCAAAUCCCUUUUACACUUUUCUUUUCUCGAAUGAUAUCAGAUUGGGCUAGCCACUGCUUAUGUUCUCAAAGCGCUGUAUUUUGGUAGGUGAGUAGAUGGCUACUAUGUCCUGAUUUGAUUUAUGUUCAUCUUCUUCUCUUUACUUUUGAAAUUAUUUCCUCGUUUUGCAGGCACUCAACUGAUCGGGAAGUAGCCCUAAUGGCUCUCAUGGCUUAUUUAUCAUACAUGCUUGCAGAGGUAAGGCCAUCAAAUUUAUUCUUGUUCGUUUAAUAUAUAUGUUCUUUGCGAUGCACCUGAAAAUGUGUUGACUUGGGCAGUUGCUAAGUCUGAGUGGGAUUUUGACUGUGUUCUUUUGCGGCAUCGUCAUGUCCCAUUACGCAUGGCACAACGUAACGGAAAGCUCCCGAAUCACGACAAGGUACUACUAUGAUGUUGCUUCUGUGUUUCUGGAUUAUCCGUACCUUUCGUUUAAAUAUUUGUCUGUAUCACCUUCAAAAUAAUAUGUUUGUUUUAUUUUGGUAUGACCUAUAUCUAGCGAAACUUAUGUUUAUAGAAAUAAUCAUAUCUCCCAUAUGAUGCAAGUGCAGGCACAUUUUUGCAACAUUAUCAUUCAUCGCUGAGACAUUUAUCUUCCUUUAUGUUGGAAUGGAUGCCCUUGAUAUUGAUAAGUGGAAGACAUCACAGGCAAGGUAAACAGCAGAGAAGCCAGCUCUCUCUCUCUCUCUCUCUCUCUCUCUGUGUCCAAGUAUUUGUAAUUUCUACUAAGUUACCUUAAAGCAUUGUCUGAGAGGUAUAACUUUUUUAUUUUCCCAGCUUCAAGACAUCAAUUGGCAUCUUUGGUAUCAUCAUUUCACUUGUUUUGCUGGGACGGGCCGCAUUUGUUUUUCCUCUAUCAAUUCUGUCAAAUUUCAUGAGUGGGAAUUCGGAAAAGGCACCGAUCACAUUCAAGCAUCAGGUAACUGCUUCUGGGACACUGAUUUUCAUUCCUUCACUUAAAAAUGUCAACUAAGAGGAGAUUCAAUCUUCUCUGGUAGAACAUCCAUUGAAUUAUCUACUCACAAUUCUUUCAAUCCCGCCAAGGUUGUGAUUUGGUGGGCUGGGCUCAUGAGGGGCGCCGUUUCAAUUGCGCUGGCGUACAAUCAGGUACAGCUGGACAGCUAGUGGUUAUCCACGUGGAUUUGAUAUGUGUACAAGAAGAGGUCAAUAUUGAGUUUUUGAACAUAUACAUGCUUGCAGUUCACCUUUUCAGGUGUAACACUCGACCCAGUUCAUGCAGCCGUCAUCACCACUACAAUUGUUGUAGUAUUUUUCACCACUCUGGUACGUAGUAUAUCUUACCAAAUCCCUCACCUUCAGCAAUGCGAUAUUCUUAGAGUUAAUUCAAUAUAUGUCACUGCAAUCCCUCGAGUUCGAAAACUGCCGCUGCAACAAUUGUCGCCAGAACGGUGGACUGAUCGAAUGUAUUUAUUUUGUCAGGUUUCUUGAAUAAUAUAAUAAAAAUGGAUGUUUGCAUCAUUUUAAUGCAGAUGCAGAGGGUUUCAUUCUCCUUUUCGAAAAAAAUGGCACUGCUAUUUUAUUCUUAUCAUUGGCAUUGACAGGUUAAUGGGAAUUAAGAAAGCUGAUACUGUUAUACAUACCCUUCAUUCUUCCAGGUGUUUGGUUUCUUGACGAGGCCUCUGAUAAGCGCAAUGCUCCCACAACAGCGACACCGGGAGGGGACAGGAGGCCACAUCACGAGCAGCAACUCCCCAAAGGAUGAGUUUAUUCUGCCGUUUCUUUCAGAUGAAAACGCUCCAGGGAGUGAAAGUGGCAUCAACCAAGCCAAGAGAAGCAUAUCGAUGUUGCUAGAGAGACCCGUCCACAUGGUACAUAUCCACUGGAGGAAGUUCGAUGACAAGUUCAUGAGACCAAUAUUCGGUGGACCGCUGUCGUACUGACAGCUCUCAUGUGGAUGUGGUAGAAUAAUUAGCGCAUUACAACCCAAGUAUGGUCAAGUGCAGGGAGACAGUUUGCACUUUGCAGCAUAUCUCUGAAGUAUGCGUCUUUGUUAAUUAGCUACUGUAUGUCUAGUUUGUAACAUCGAACAGUUCCAAGAAAUUUCACCUUGAAGUUUGUUUCAGUUUUGGAAUCAGAUUUUCACAUGGCAACAUAUGGAAGUAGAAAAGGAAGCAGUCUUUAGUGCUUCUUCAGGGUGCACAAGGGCUUCCACAGCGUGUGCCAAAUAGAGGUGUCAAAUUGCUAAUUUGUCAUUUGGCACCGCAUCCCUUCACUAUGAAUCCGUUGUCAAAUUGUAAAAAGUGGGAACCGGAGCAAGUAGAUGAUCUAGUGCCAAAUUGAAAAAAACAAUAAACAAUACGGAGAGAGAAGAGUGAAAAGAGGAAGGAGAUGAGAGAUUGGGAGAGAAAAACCUGUUGGCGCGAAAUUUGGGUCCCACCCAAUAGCUAUUUGGCUUUUAGCUACGUUGGCAAGAACUAGCAAAUUUGGCACCGUCUCUUUGGCACAUCAUGGAGGCCCUAACCGAACCGAAAUCAAAUACCUAAAAAAAAUGCCGCAUUGAAAUCAAAAUUUCGGUUUUCUUGUUAUUCAGUAAGCUGCUUGCAAUUCGGUUUUCAGUUACAGUUCAGUACUAAAAUAGCUAACUGUCUGCAAUUAAAAAAAACAAAUGAUAAAAAUAUUGAAAAACGUGUUUUAUAAAAAAGUAUACUUUUAAUCUUCGAACUGUUGAAAGCGGUUUUGUGCACAGUUUUGCUCUUCCCCACACUAUUGAGUUCAUUUUGUCUUCCCCCUGGUCCCGAUCCCAUGGAAACAUCUUCCUGACAUGAAGAAAUGAAACAAUUAACAAUGCUUUCUUUCUCAGAACAACAGUAUUCAAAUUUCCUAGGAACUCUGCCCUAUUCAAUACCAGAGUCCAAAAUCGACCACAAAUUGAUGCCAUGAAAUCCUCCAAACCCCAAAUUAUCCGAGGGCAGGGGAAGUGAAGAUGGCGACAGAUGGUGUUGACAAGACGGAACGACCGCUUACCCUUCAUCCAAGGAGGGUUCAGACCGAGGGUGUGAGCGCCUGAGGGGAAAUGAACUCAAGAAGGAGUCGAGGGCAGAUGGGGUCAACUGGUUAAUCAACACAACGCCAGGGGCAUGGUGAUGUGGCAAACGGAAGGGAAAAACCAAGACAUGUUUGGUGCCAAUACCACUUCAGUCGGGUAGACGGACCAUAUUUGUGGCUGCUUGUGACAGUUCGAGGACUAAAAUUAUACGAAAAAAGUUGAGCGACAUUUUGCGUACUUUUCAACAAGUUGAGAUACGAAAUAAAGUAGCUAAUGGAGCAUUUAAUUGAGUUUCCAUAGGCUCUUGACAGAAUAUUCGUCAUAAUAGACACAUUUUAUAUUCAUGUCAAACCUGUUAGCUGGUUAAAUUAUACACCGAUAUUUGUUGGUGAUGUGAUAUUUGUGUUUUUAUAUAUCGGCUCACUCUAACUGGGCAGUACACAUGAUAAUUUACCCAUAUUUAUUUUUGCAUUGUAUGGGACUUAUCCAUCUAAGAAUAUUUAUAAUUACCUUGGCGUUAUUGUUACAAUUUAAUUUUCUGGUGGUGCGAUACAUGUACUUAUAUCAGAUUAUCUAAUUGUCUGAUACACACAAUUAUUUGGCAAUAUUAUAUUUUCCGUCGUACAUGAUUUAUCCGUCCAAAAACAUAUCUUUUUAUAUCUCCAUAUUAUUUUUAGCACGCCAGCAAAAUCGGUGUCAACCGAUGCCCCUCGAGGUCUGGAUUCAAAAAUAUGUUUUGUUUCGGGGAAAUAGAGCUCUAAACUUGUAUAUCUAUGUAUUUUUUAAUUAAUUGUCUGUAGAGAGUAUAUUUGCAACAUCUCAAUUCUACAUAUCAAGUUAUGUAGCGCAUCAAUCCUUAGCUAAUUUUUGUAGUGGAAAUUCCAUGUAUGAUCACGUAUGGUACCAAGUAUUUAUUGCUAUAAAUGUGAGCCUGUGGCAACCCUAAUGAUCUACUAAUAAUCACAAAUGAUAACAUGACGCAUUUACUUUAACUUAACUAUAUAUGUAGAGUUUUAGAUCUCGCAAUUGAAGUCUAAUUAAGUUAGGUGUGGACCGCCAUACAAUUGUGGAGGCACACAUAUAUACCACAUAACACUUUUUAGUGGAAAUUCUUAGCUAAUUUUUUUUUUUCAUAUUUCAUUAAAAAAUAAAUCAAAUUUUCGAUCCUAUGUUUCAUACCUUUACCAGUAUAUCUUUUUAUUAUGCAUAAAUGGUACAAACUGAAAGGUCGCUUCUGCCUCACCAGAUGCCCCUCUCACAAUUGGCUCAAUGACAAUUAUUUGAGCCAAACACUAGUUUGGAAAACAACCCAAUAAUAAGGGAACACCAAAUUCUGCAAGGGACCAUUGAUUAUUGUGAUCGCGGGUGGAAGUCGACACCAUCCUUCGUCGAAUGUUGUUAUUAUCCCCCUACCUCUCUUCCGAGGCUGGAAAAAGCCAAAACUCUCGGAACUCACAUUUUGUCUAAGAGUUUAGGUUGGGAACACCACAGGGUCGAAUACCCGUUGCAUCCUUCUGGUUAUAAUGAAUGGGGAGCUCAGGCCCUUAAGAAAUAUUCUAUCCUUACAAUAGGGAAUAAGGAGAAUGCAAACUAUGUAUGCACGGAGCUAUUUACUUCUCUUUAGCAACUACUCGAUCUCUGCCCCACUAUUAAGAUCUUUGUUAGAGAAGUGUGAUCCUCACACCAACACAUCUCUAUUUUCUUGUGGUGAACGUACUAUAACAUUGCUCAAUAUGCACCAAAUGACAGGGCUCCCUUUGGAUGGAGACCCUUACCAAGAAUAUCUUCCUCCCACCCAUGAGCUAGAUCCUUCACUGUUGUUGUAUCCCAAUUUCGUGUCAUGGCUUUUGGCUAUCUGUAAUCACUUGGGUUCCACUUUCUUUAUCAAUACCCAUGCGGAUGAGUAUCGUCACGUGGCUUCUUCAUUUUGUGGUUGUUGGUGGAGGGCCAUGUAUAAGUCCCUGGGUAUUACUGAUGGCGACCUGGACCACCAUAGAUCGCCAGAUUUCCUUAACACCUACUGCUCUUGGUUCACUAUAUUAUUCACUUCGGCUAAUUAGCACACAUCCCAUUGGUCUUUAUAUAAAAAGAACUUGGUCAGUCCAUUAGGUAAUAAUAUACAUCCAACAUGUGCUAAAGAAAUUUGGCGACCUAUAGUGAUCCAGGCUGCCAUCACUAAUACCCAUGGACGUAUACAUGACCGUCCACCAACAACCACAAAACGACAAAGCCACACGGCCAUAAAUGCCAUGGUUUCAUCCGUUGGGGUAUUGAUAAAAUGGCAGGGCAGACGGCUGCCGCGGCAGGGCAGAAGGUUGCCGCGGCAGGACAAGGGGCUCCGGCUGGCUUGAUGGUUGCUGUGGCAGGGAGAGGUACUGCUGUUGCCGCGUCCAGACAGGCUGUUGUGGGGGCUGGUGUUUCUCAGGGUUCUGCCGUGGGUGCUGUGGCGGCAGGAUGGCUUUCUGCCGCGGCAGGACAGGGGGUGAGUGCUGGGAGUAACGAUGUUGCGGUUGCUAAUCCUUUGGCUAAGGUUCGGUGUUUUCGUUGUGAGCAGAAGGGACACUACUGGUCGAUGUGCACUGCUGUCCUUUGUGAUUUUUGUGAGAAGGCGGAUCAUGUCUCAGCUGAGUGCGAGCUUCCUCGUUUGCCUAAACUUGCCGUGCGAUCCUGUGGUACUGUGGCGGAUGAUUUGUUUUACUUUGAACUUCCUGAGGAGGCGGUGGUGGUUCCUAAGGCUGAUAGCAAUAGAAAGGGGCUGAUUCAGGUUGAGGGUGGUUCGAUGUCACAGGAACGGGUUGUGGCGGAGAUGCAAAGGCUCAUUCCGGUGUCUAACUUUCAGUGGGAGGUCACGGCUCAGGGGAUCUCUGAUUUUGUGGUUUUGUUUCCUACACGUGGUGAGUUGCAGAGGCUUGUCAGGGUUGGUGUGAUCCAGGUUCCAAAUUCGGAGUUGAGGUUCAGGGUGGAUGAAUGGACUUCAUCUUCGACUGCAGCUUUUGAGUUUCAUGAUACGUGGGUUCAUGUUGGUAAUAUUCCACGUGAUCUUUUUAAUUACAGGGCCAUUUGGAGGCUAGGUACUUUGUUGGGUACUACACUUGAUGUGGAUAUGCCUUUCUCUCGUCGCCAUGGUGUGGCACGGGUUCGGGUCAGUGUUACUAAUAUUUCUGCUAUUCCGUCGGGUACGGAUCUUCGUCAUGAGGGUCGUGGCUAUAGACUCUCCUUUCUGGUGGAACCUUCAGAGGAUGAGGCUAUAAAUGAUGAUGAUGAUGGUGAUGAUGGUAACAGGGAUAGGCGUGAUCCGGAUAAUAAUGAUGAUAUGGAUGAUGAGGUGUUAGAUGUUAUGAAAGAUCUUGAUAAUAAAAAGCGGGAGGAGGAGAGGAGAUCUGGUAAGCGUUCCAAGCCAUCUCAGGAGUUGCCGGUUGGGAAUUUGGGAGGUUUGUCGUCUGCUCCACCGGUUAUGCGUGGUUUGAUUUUUCGGACGGGUUGUGCUACUGGUGUGGGCUUUCUUUCUCCGUUCAAGAUGUUCCCGGAGCCCAUUGUGUCGGAGGUGCUGGUGCCAUCUUCUUCGGAGUUGGAGGUGCAGGUGGCACCUCCGUCGUCGGGGCUUGGGAUGACCGAGGUGGUACAGGAGGCACCACCUUCGGCCGUUCUGUCCUGCUGCUCGCCGGCAGCUAGAGGCACCACCGGUGGCUGCUACGGCGUCGGCGGUCGUGGUGGUGCAGGAGGCACCGCCGGCUGCGGCUGUGUUGGCUGUCGCGCUGGCUUCUUUGCCGGCUGCCGCGGUAGUGCAGGAGGCACUGCCGGCAGCAUUGGUGGUGCAGGAGGCACCACCGGAUGCUGUUUCUUUGCCGGUUGUCGGGGUGGUGCAGGAGGCACCACCCAUUGUGGCUCUCUGUCCGCCGGCAGAGCAGGUGGUGCAUGAGGUGCCACCGCCCGCUGCAGCGUGCCCGUUGGCGGCGGCGGAGGUGCAGGCGGCGCCUCUGCUUGCUGCCUCCGAUUUUGGUGUUAUUGAUGUGCAGGUGCGGGUGGCCGAGGGAGAGGUCGUGGGUCCGCGAGCCGAGUCGCCGGUUCGUCGGUCGCCAUCUCCGUCGUCCGUGCUGCCGCGGUCUGUGUCGCCUCCCUCACCGUCGGAGUUGAGCUUGAAGCUGGACUCGCCGGUGGAGUUUCCCCCAAUACUGUCCUCGGUUGCAGGCCGUUGUGAUGGGGGGGGGGGCGAUGACGAGGUGUUGGCUGCACCUCAGAGGGGUGCGGCUCCCGAUGUUGGAGCGCGAGGGAGGCGUCGCGAGUACCCGCCGCCUUCACGUUUCAACGCGCGUCUAGCGGCCCAAGCUGACUCCGAUGAGGCGAUGAUCAACAAGGCAACGCGACUUGCUAAAAUCCGGAAUCAUGAAGCUGAAACAGGUAUGAAUGUGGAGCUUGAAAAUUCUACUCUUUCUAUUUCUGAUGAUGAUAUUGCUUCAAACAUGUCUAGUUCAGGGGUUUCUUUAGGUAUGGGUGCUAAAGAAAUUUCUAGGACUAUUCAUUUGAUUAAAAAUAAUGAAAUUGACCGGUUAGUGGCUAAUUUACAUGUUCUGUGUGCCAAGAAAAUUGAGAGGUUUCCAGAUACUUCUAGUUGUCUUUUGUUAGAUUCGGCAGAACAGUUAUGUCGUGACUUGUCUGAUGAGGAGGAAGAGGUCAUGUGUGAGUCUCUUCCUUCUCGCUCUCGAGGGGUUGUUGUUGGAAAAAAGCAGACCAAGGUGGGGGCGUCCACGUGGUCGUGCUAUAAAAAUUAAAAAACAAGUUGUUACCUCAUGAAAGGAAUGUUCUGGAAUAGUAGAGGUCUUCGUGACUUGGCUAAGCACGGUUUUUUGGCGGGUGUUGUUUGAGAGCAUAAUCUUGAUUUUAUCGUCCUCAUGGAAACGGGACGAUCAUACUUCUCAACUGGCUUUCUUAAUCAUAUCACGGGUGGAUUAGAUUUUAUUUGGCACUGUCUCCCACCGAAGGGUCGUUUAGGAGGUAUGUUGUUGGGGUUAAAUGCGAAUUCACUGGAGGUGCUGUCUGUCGAUGCGGGCGACUUUUGUGUUAAGUUUAGCCUCAAAUUGAAGUCUGACGGUUUUAGAUGGGUGUUGGUAGCGGUUUAUGGGGCUGCUCAACCUCAGUUUAAAUCUGAUUUUUUGACUGAGUUGGUCCAGUUCUGCUCGUCUGAAACUCUUCCUUUGUUGGUGGGCGGUGAUUUUAAUAUUAUCCGUAGACAGGAAGAGAAGUGUUUUGAUGCCUUUCAGGAACGUUGGCCCUUUCUUUUCAAUGCGAUCAUUGAGAGUUUGAACCUUCGUGAGAUUGAACUUUCGGGUAGGCAGUUUACUUGGGCUAAUAAUCUCCCCAUCCCGACUUACGAAAAAUUGGAUCAGGUUUUAAUGAGUACGGAAUGGGAGGCUAAAUUUCCGCUUGUCUCGGUGCAUGCUUUGCAUCGGUCUCUUUCUAAUCAUUGUCCCUUGUUGUUAGAUUCUGGGGAUGCUGCUCAUCUUGGUAAUCAGGCUUGUUUUAGUUUUGAAUUAUCUUGGUUGUCGAAAGAAGGCUUUUCGAGACUAUUGCAGCUGAGUGGAGGAAGGUUUCUCGGGGUCGGUUCGCUAUUGAACGUUGGCAAAAUCAUAUUAGACAUAUUAGACAAUUUUUAAGGGGUUGGGCUAAAAAUCUUAGCAGUGUUUUCAAGCUUGAGAGGGAUCGCCUUCUGCGAUUGGUAGAGGAAUUAGAUGUGCGGGCUGAGCUUGGUCCCUUGUCCUGUGAUGAUUGGGCGGCUAAGCGCCUCGCUGAUGAUCAGUUAGCGGCUUUGUAUCGUGAUGAUGAGUCUAAAUGGUCACAGAGGGCGAAAGUUAAUAGUAUCCGUAAUGGUGAUAAUAAUACGCGUUGCUUUCAUUUGGUUGCUAAUGGGAAGCAUCGUAAGAAGCAAAUUUUUCAGCUUGAGCAGCCAGAAGGUACGAUUGUUGGUGAUGAACAAUUGAGACUGUAUAUCACCAAUUAUUACAAGCAUUUGUUUGGUCCAUCAGAGGCUAGUGCAGUUUCUAUGGAUGAAUCAAUGUUCGCUGACCUUGAGUGUGUUAGUCCGGAGGAGAAUACCAUUCUUACUGCGCCGUUUUCGGAGGAGGAAGUGCGUGAGGCGGUCUUUCAGAUGAAGCCCAAUAAGGCUUCGGGUCCUGAUGGUUUCCCGGCUGAGUUUUAUCAAAAGUUUUGGGCGGUGAUUAAGGAUGAUUUGAUGGCUCUUUUUGCUGACUUUCAUGCUGGAUCUCUCCCAAUUUUUCGUUUAAAUUUUGGGACAAUCACUUUGUUGCCUAAGAAAGAGGAUGCUUCUCAGAUUCAGCAAUAUAGGCCUAUCUAUCUGUUGAAUGUUUGCUAUAAAAUUUUCACGAAAGUUUGUACUAACUGAAUUAAUGUUGUGGCUAGUUCGAUUAUUAAACCUAUGCAUUCUGCCUUCAUGUCUGAGCGGCACAUUUUGGAGGGUGUGGUCGUGUUACAUGAAACGGUUCAUGAGUUGCAUACCAGAAAAUUAGAUGGGCUGAUUUUAAAAAUUGAUUUUGAAAAGGCUUACGAUAAGGUUUGGUCCUUUCUUCAACAAGCUCUUAGGAUGAAAGGUUUUGAUGAGCAGUGGUGUGCUUGGAUUGAUGAUUUUGUGAAGGGAGGGAGUGUGGGUGUCAAAGUGAAUGACAAGAUUGGGCAUUAUUUUCAGACUAUGAAGGGCGUUAGGCAGGGGGAUCCGUUGUCUCCAGUGCUUUUUAACAUUGUGGCGGAUAUGUUGGCAGUGCUGGUAGAGAGGGCUAAGGGUAUUGGUCGUUUAAAUUUGGUUAUUCCGCAUCUUGUACAUGGAGGUGUGUCGAUACUCCAGUACGCUGAUGAUACAGUGAUCUUUCUUGAGCAUGAUCUCCAACAAGCUAAAUUUUUAAAGUUGCUCUUAUGCGUUUUUGAGCAGCUGUCGGGGCUUAAGAUUAAUUUUCAUAAAAGCGAAUUAUUUUGUUUUGGCCAAGCGAAGGAGUGUGAGGACCAGUAUACUCAAUUAUUUGGGUGCGGGGUGGGUUCGUUUCCUUUUCGUUAUCUAGGAAUUCCGAUCCAUUACCGUAAGUUGAUGAAUAAAGAAUGGAAAGGUGUCGAGGAUCGUUCUGAGAAGAAGCUAAGAUGUUGGAAAGGAAGGCUUUUGUCUAGUGGUGGCCGUCUUACGCUUAUUAAUUCGGUCUUAACUAGUUUGCCUAUGUUCAUGAUGUCCUUCUUUGAAAUUCCAAAAAGGGUCGUUAAAAGAUUGGAUUUCUAUCGUUCGAGAUUCUUUUGGCAAUGCGAUGAACAAAAAAGAAAAUACAGAUUGGCUAAGUGGGAUAACCUAUGCCGGCCUCGUGAUCAAGGAGGUUUGGGGAUUGAGAAUUUCGAGAUUAAAAAUAUUUGUUUGCUAAGUAAGUGGCUAUAUAAGAUUCUUUCGGGUGAGGGGUUGUGGGUGGAGUUAUUGCGGAAUAAAUAUCUCUACGCAAGCUCUUUGUCCCAAGUUCGAAUGAGGGCUUAUGGUUCACCUUUUUGGAAAGGAUUGCCGCGGAUUCGUUAGUUUUUCUUUCCUCAUAUUUCUUUUUCGGUUAAUCAUGGAGCUGAUGUUUGUUUUUGGGAAGAUACAUGGUUUGGUGACUCUCCUCUUAGACGUCAGUUUCCAUCUCUUUAUAGGAUUGCUCUUAACCAUAAGGCUUCGGUUGCUGAAGUGUUGGGGGCGGAUCCUCCUAAUAUUGCAUUUCGUAGAGCAAUUGUUGGGGAUCGUUUGGUGGAUUGGUUGGAGUUGUGUCAUAAACUCGAGUCUGUAAAUCUUGUGAAUCAAGCGGAUUCUUUUACCUGCAGACUGAAUUCUUCUGGGUCAUAUCCGGUGAAGUCGUUGUACAACUCGCUUAUUGAUAUUUGGAAACCUAAAGUUCCUCUUAAAAUAAAUUUUUUUGCUUGGUACUUAUGUCGGGGGGUGGUGCUCACUAAGGAUAAUUUGGCCAAAAGGAAUUGGGGUGGUAGCAAGAAGUGUGUUUUCUGUGAUCAAGAUGAGACCAUUCAACAUCUUUUUUUCCAGUGUCCAAUGGCGUGUUUGGUGUGGUGAACCGUCUUUGUGACAUUUAAUUUACCACCGCCAUCUUGUGUUACUAAUAUGUUUGGGCGGUGGCUUAGGGGUGUUGAGAAUUUUUUUGCCUCGCUCAUCCUUGUAGGGACGUGUGCGAUAGUUUGGUCUAUAUGGAAUUGCAGAAAUGAUUUGGUUUUUCAUAACAAGAGAGUGGCUAACUUCUUGCAGGUCGUUCUUCGGGCGUCCCUUUGGCUCCGUAUGUGGUCCCUACUGCUUCGGACGGAGGCUCAGGAAUGUAUGGAUUUUGGGUGCAACCGUUUGGAGACGGUCGCACGGGAGUUAUUCAGCCGGUUUGGAUGGCGCACAGGUUUUAGGCUGGAAGGAUUUUGAUGUUUUCCUUUCACUCUAUGUAAUUUUUCUUUGAUAACCGGCUACUUGUUCUUUGGAUGAUUUUGGAUGAUGGAUGAUUUUAAUAAUAUAUGGCUGUGUGCAUCGAUCGAUGCAGAGGCAAAAAAAAAAGUGAUUAUGGAAAUGGUCACACAAAACUUGUAAACCCGCCUCUCACCAGAUUUGGAAAGGUCGUUCCCAAGACCCAGGAGUGGUGAUAAGAAAUUUGGAUACAACAAAAGUGAAGGAUCUAGCUCAUGGGUGAGAGAAACAUAUUCUUCAUCAGGGUCUCUCCAUCCAAAGGGAGCCCUGCCAUUUGGUGCAUAUUGAGCAGUGUAUGUUCACCACAAUAAAAUUGAAAUGUUUUGGUGUGAGGAUCCCAUUUCUAUAAUAAAGACCUUGAUAGUGGGCAGAGAUGGAGUAGUUGCCAAAAGAGCAGUAAAUAGCUCCACAUAUACUGCAUUAUCCUCAUUCCCUUUUAAGAGGAUAUAAUAUUUGCGAAGGACCUCAGCUCCCCAUUCAUUAUACAGGAAGGCCAAGGUGGCGAGGGAUGCCACGCCGGCCACGGAGUGCCUGUACUCAUGCAUCGAUCGCCGCCGCCGCACAAGCCAUAAAGAGGGAGGAGCUCGCUGCCAAGAGAGAAGAGGUCACGGCCUCAACGUGGGCGACGAUGAUCAAGAAGCAAGACUUGAAGCUUGAGAUCCUCAAGACGAACGUCGCGGCAGCGAACAGGCAGGAGGACUUGGCGCUUUUGAUUUGUGACACAAAUGACAUGAACGGGCUCUUUAGGCUUCAAGACAGGCUCCACAGGCCCCACAGACCAACACAUGUCUUUCCAGCGCACUUUGUCCUCACUCAUGCGCUCCCGGGAGAAACUCCCCGGUCGGUCACCCAUCCUCAAAUUGAUCUCAGCCAAGCACGCUUAACUUUGAGGUUCUUUUCGGCUGGUCUUCCGGAAAAAAAGGUAUACCUUGUUUAUAUGAGUAUUCUAUCGGAGCACGGGUCUCCGGCACCGGAGAUGUUGGGCACCCCCUUGUUGUUCGGUGAGGGGCGAGGCGAGCGCUCCGGUGAUCGCCGAAGUGACAUAAGACACGAAGUGUAGACACUUGGAUUUACCCAGGUUCGGGCCACCCGGAGGUGUAACACCCUACGUCCUGCUAUUUGUUGUAUUCACGAAUAUGUGUGUUCUUACAGAUUCUCUCGGGGGGUUCCCGGGUGAGCUACUUGUUCUUCUAAGGGAUUCUGCUACGAAUGGGUGCAAGACUACUCGCUACUGACCAAGGUUCGAACCUUUUUACCAAUGUCAUUGGUCCUCCUUUUAUAAACAAGGGGAUACCAGGGUUCGAACCUUUUUACCAAUGUCAUUGGUCCUCCUUUUAUAAACAAGGGGAUACCAUAGGUGCCGAUGCAUGCAGCGUGACACGUUACCCACACGCGUGUCAUUGCCACAAAACUUACCCCACUGUAGAUCCACGCUAGGCUUCAUGCAGCGCCCAGGCCACUGUGCAUUGCAAACAAAACAGUUCUUAGGAUAGCAGCUCUAGACGUGUUGCGCAAGACUAGCCCUGCCGAUGUGACUCCUGUCGGUGCAUUAAAUGCACUGCGCCCGCUGUCUGGUCUUGUCUCCACUGCUCCGUCAGCCCCACAUGCAACCCCUGAAGCUCCAGUACCCGGAAGGUGCCCCGGUACCGCUGCCCGGCAAGUUGCACGGGAGCGAACUGGUAGCUUCCCGGGUGCGCCCCUCCCGGGGAGCCGGCCUAGCGGGAUCUCGUCCGUUGCGACCCACGCGUCCCGUACCAGUGGGGCCCCGUGCUUCCGAAAGGAACUUCGAAGUUAAGCGUGCUUGGCUGAGAGCAAUUUGAGGAUGAGUGACCGACCGAGAAGUUUCACCCGGGAGCGCAUGAGUAAGCACAAAGUGCGCUGGAUAGACAUGUUGGUCUAUGGGGCCAGUCUUGAAGCCUAGAGAGCUCAGGAGUGACGCUGGGGCGUUACAACGAUGAGGUGAAGGCAUGGUACGAUGGGUAACACAAGCUCAUCUUGUCCGAAAUGAGAGCGCUGACGACCUCAACAUCACCACCGGCGACCUCGACUGCACCGGCGAGCUCGGAAGUCCCUUCUACCCCGGCAGAGGAUGAUCCGGUCGAAUGCAUCUAUUCAUAUGAUUUUUUUUGUUCACCUAGACUUUGAAUUUGUGGCGGCAUGUGAAGUGGCACCAAAAACUAUUUAUUUGUCAGUUUGACCCCAAACAAAUUGGUUGCGCGCCAACCCCACCCCACCACCCAUAUGGCCUUGCGCCGGACGUCGUACGGGGGGCGAGUGGAGACGCUCUGAUCAAAUAAUGGCAAGCAACUGACUUUUCUAAAAAAAAAAGACUUGCUACUGUAGUCAUAGUCAUGACAAUUUUCAUGAUAAUGAUGCUUUUUUGCUCCAACUUACUGUAUUCCAACAUUUAGGUAUCUUUUCUGCUUAAAAAAAACAUCUAAUCCUUCGUCGUCCCCACCGCCUCUCUCCUGUCCGGCCCCACGAAAUCGGGUAACACACAACACAAGCCACUUUGGCGCAAAGCCAACGAGAACAUCUCCCACCAAUUGGACCGUGCACAAAGGUACCAUCUCAUCCUCCUGUUCAUUGAUUACAUGCCUUCCAGGCCCGGCCGGCGACCCCCCGUUCCUCAUCAAUUCGAGCCCGGACGAUCUCCGCAUUUCCUCUUUUUGAUCUGAUGAAGAAGUCCUGCUCCAAGAAUCGGGCUUCCCGCAGGAGAUAGAUGUCUGGGUUCGUAGGGGUCAUUAUCUCUGACCCCUCUUUGCAGGGCCAGUUCACGCAGGUCGAGCUCCGAUCGCUCAAGGCCAAGGUCACCCCACAAAUCCACAGCUGGCAUUUCCCCCCUUUCCCUUCGUAAUUGCCUUCUCUUGUGCCCAUUGCGUGAUUCCGCGCCCAAUUUGUGGCUGCAGUAUGUGAUUCUGAAGAGGGAGUCCGGACAUGUCACCUCCAAGAACCUACCCGGUUUGAUGAAGAAGCUGAGGGGGCUCAACGAGGUAGUCUCCGAGGACGAGAUCGCUGCGUUCUUGUCGGAGGUUUACCCCGACGAAGACAAGGAGAUUGAGUUCGAGUCAUUCCUGCGGGUACACAUUUAGGCAAUAAUCGCUCUCAAGUUCUUUCGAGUGCUAAUCCGUUCCAGCUUGCUUGAUUGAUUUGUGUGCCGUGGGGGGACAGGAGUACCUGAACCUGCAGGCUAGGGUUACCCACAAGGAGGGCGGCAGCGGGGCCAAGCACUCGUCGUCCUUCCUCAAGUCCAGCACCACCACGCUGCUCCACAACCCCAACCAAGCAGAGAAGUCAUCCUAUGUUGCACACAUCAACGCGUACCUUGCUGAUGAUCCUUUUCUGAAGAAGUAUCUGCCGCUGGACCCCGCGGGCAAUGAUCUGUUCGACCUCGUCAGGGACGGAGUCGUACUCUGGUAAUUUGCACAUACGUUGUGUUGUUUUACCAUCUUUGCAUGGCAAUGCAUUAGUUUAAUUACUUGUGUGAAAAAUUCUAAUGUGGUUUGAGGACGGUCCUGUCUAAUACUUGCUUAUUUGUGGUCCAUGGAUAAUACGGUCAGUAAAUUGAUCAAUGUAGCUGUACCUGGGACUAUUGAUGAGAGAGCCAUCAAUAAGAAAAGAAUCCUUAACCCAUGGGAGAGAAAUGAGAACCAUACACUGUGCCUCAACUCUGCCAAGGCUAUUGGAUGUACUGUUGUCAAUCUUGGUGCUCAAGACUUGGUGGAAGGAAGGGUAUGCAUUCAUUCCCGUACCUAUUGUGCUACAUUUUUAUUGCAACUCUCUAUCUGGUGACCUGGUUGAAGUGAUAUCAAAUAUUUUCCUUUUCAAUGCUAUCUGCUGAUAUAGAUAUGCAGUCACUGACAUUGUUGCGUCUAUCUGUUUCAUGCGCGCUAGUUAAUGUUCAUGCACACUAUGCUGAUAAUCGUGCUCACAUAUUAUUUUCCUUCUCACAAUUCAAACGUUUUAUUGUUGAUUUUUUUUUAAUGUUACGGAGUAUUAUCUAAUAAAAUAUCCAGGAAUUCAUUUGGCAUGUUCUUUGUUACAUAAUCUUCAUAUACAUUAUACAUUCUGGAAUCUGGAUUACCUGAAUUCCGUUUAUGCUUUAUCUUAUUGAAAUAGCAAUAUAAGGCUCAGUGGAAUGAAUUAAUUAAGGGUCAAAUACUGACACGGUGACAUGGUAUAUUGCUUAAUUUUGCAGACUCAUCUAGUUCUUGGAUUGAUAUCUCAAAUUAUAAAGGUGCUACAAUUUUCCCAUGUACGACUUUAUUUUUCAUCAUAUACUAGAACUGUCUUAUGAGUUAUGACCGUGCUUAAUAUAUAUUUUUCCCAUGUAACUAGAUACAACUUUUGGCUGAUCUAAAUCUUAGGAAGACACCACAACUGGUGGAAGUGUUUGAUGACAGCAGGGUAUGCAUAAGUUUUGUCAUUGAGUAAACUUAUCUAUGAACACUAUAUAUUUGUGUUGAACAGAUAUCAUUUUGUUUUACCCAUUAUUGUACAGGAUAUAGAUGAAGUGCUGAGCAUGUCACCUGAAAAGUUGCUACUUCAGUGGAUGAACUAUCAUCUAAAAAGAGCUGGUUACAAGAAAACUGUUAGCAACUUCUCUUCAGAUGUCAAGGUUCACGCAACAAAUGCGCUUUUUCUUGCACGUUUUUUUAUAAUUAGAUGUUUCGCCCCUUUCAUUUAACGGGGAACCACCUGAGAAAAAUUUACAACUUUGAUUGUUCAAAUCAAGUUUUGACUAAUAGUUAAUCCAAUAAUAAGUGGGUUGUUACACAAAAAAGAUACUUGUAUUGCAUUCAAAAAUUAUUUCUUAUGAUCGUGAUUUAGUAACGAUUAAUAAAUAUUAGACCAAAAUUUACGGUCAAAGCCAAACUUGGACGUGCCUAACUUUCGAAACAGAGGCCGUAUUUGAAGAAAACACUGUAUGCUGCAAUGUCUAAUAUACAAAUGGUGUGAUCCCUUCAGUAUCUCAGGGCGUAUCUCAUGCAUUAUGAAUAUAUUUUACUGUAUUGAAUCGACAAAAAAGAUCUUCAUUUCCUGCUCUACUACUCUAUUAGAUGCACAACAAGCAAUUUUCUGACAAGCUAGGCUCGUACAGGAUGGCGAAGCCUAUACCUACCUCAUCAAAGCUCUUGCUCCAGAGCAUUCCUCUGAAACUGCAUUUGAGACGAAGGAUCCUACGGAAAGGGCAAAACUGGUACUUGAACAAGCAGAGAAGUUGGACUGCAAAAGAUAUUUGAGCCCAAAGGAUAUUACCGAGGGCUCUCCAAAUCUUAACCUUGCAUUUGUUGCACAAAUAUUCCACCAUAGGUGAGAAUUGCUUGUCUACUAUUUGAAGGAAUCCUAUUCUGUUGUCAGAAUUCUGCAAUACAUUCUCAUAGUUUUAAUGGUUGUGGUGCCAUUUUGUGUUAACCAAAAUGUAAUGCGCUUCUAUAUGCAGAAAUGGCUUGACUACUGACACCAAUCAGAUUAACCUCACGCAGACAUCAUCACGAGAUGAUCUUAUCUUAUCUAGAGAAGAAAGGGCCUUCCGAAUGUGGAUUAACAGCCUUGGAAUUGUGACAUAUGUAAAUAAUAUGUUUGAAGAUGUUCGAAAUGGGUAAGCUUUCAACAGAGGCAGCCCGUGUUUAUCUGUCACAGAUGAGUGAUGUAAAUGCCUGUGCAGGUGGGUUCUUCUAGAAGUACUUGACAAAGUAUAUCCGGGAUCUGUCAAUUGGAAGAUAGCAACAAAACCUCCAAUUAAAAUGCCAUUUAGAAAACUGGAGAACUGCAAUCAAGUCAUACAAAUUGGGAAGCAGCUGAAGUUUUCUUUAGUGAAUUUAGCUGGAAAUGAUAUUGUUCAGGGAAAUAAGAAGUUGAUUGUUGGUGAGUUUGUUUUUACAAAAUAUUGAUAAGUGCAUUGCGAACAGCAGCUUGUCAUCUCUUAAUUGUAUAUGUUGAUAUCCCCCUUUUACUUACGAAGAAUAACCGUCAAGUGCCUUUUGUCUGUUUAAACUGUUCAUUGACCAUAGAGGCAUUAUGGUGGAUAUCCCAACUGUUCAAUAUGAAAAUGGAAAAUGAAUGCUGUUUAUGACCCAGCGUUUCUUCUUUUCUCUUCUGUGAAUAGAUGUACUGUUGUAUUAAAUCUCAUCUCACAUGUUAUUUCAGCACUUCUUUGGCAAUUGAUGAGAUUCAAUAUCCUUCAGUUGCUAAACAAACUGAGGUUCCACUCUCAAGGGUCCCAGGGAAAACAAAUAACUGAUGCUGACAUCCUGAAUUGGGCGAAUAACGAAGUCAAGGCUUCAGGGAGAACUUCUCAAAUGGAAAGUUUUAAGGUGAUCAUUACGAUUGCACUCUGCCUUACAUUUGCAAUUUCUUGUCAUGAAAUCGUAGCUGCUCAUACUUGUGUUUCUGGUUCAGGACAAGAACUUAUCAAGUGGAAUAUUUUUCCUUGAACUUCUCAGUGCUGUACAGCCAAGGGUUGUGAACUGGAAGGUUGUAUCCAAGGGUGUAGAUGGUGAGUUCUUGGUCGAUCAGUGAAUUUGUUUUGUUUUUCCCUUGUUGAGUUUAUGGCUUAAACCAUGUCUAUUUUCUUUUGGAGCAUCAUGAGAAUCAAAACGGAAAUCAUGCGAUGUCAUCUUUCUGUUGCACUUCCUUUGUAAUGACUCAUACAUUCUCUUUCACCACUGCAGAUGAUGAGAAGAAGCUAAAUGCUACCUACAUCAUCAGUGUUGCUCGGAAGCUUGGCUGUUCUGUGUUUUUGUUGCCAGAUGACAUAAUUGAGGUAAUCGAUCAUCACCAUGAAAUACAUAUUUUUUUUCCUGUAUCUUACAAUUUUGAAUUGAUGCUCCCAACAGGUGAAUCAGAAGAUGAUCCUAACACUGGCUGCUAGCAUCAUGUACUGGAGUCUCCAGAAACCACCACAGAGUGAAACAUCUGAACAGUCUGCACCAUCUAAUGUGGCUUCAGAUGCUGCUUCUGAUAUCGCCUCGGAGGAUUCCACGUCGAUAAUGGCAUCACUAGAGGGAGAAGAGGUGAAUUCGUUGCCUAAAAGCAUGGCAACGGAUAAUACUAGCACUUCAGAUGCUCUAUUUUGAAUUCUUUGCCUGAUAGUCGAGUUCCAACAUAACCACAAUUGACGAUGCUUCAGAUACAACUCUGGCAGAUAACGAUAAUGUUGUAUAUGCAGAAUGAAGAUUUAGAGUAGUAGUUCUCCAUUCAUCGGGUUUUUUUUUCUGUCUUGCACAUAGAAUAGAGCUAAGCAAAUAUUUUCUCUUUUUCUUGAGUUUGUUUUGUAGUUACUGCACAUAGCAAUGGUCUAUAUAGAGUUAUGAUCAAAAUAGGUCCAUUUUCCCAUUGAAUUUUGAUCAAAAUGUAUACAGAAGGUGUCCAUUGACAUUCUAUUUUUCUUUUCAACAAUUUAUAUGCAUGAAUUAGGAUAGUUCGAAGAUCUGCCUUUUAUUCUGCCACCCAGGAGAACUGCAUUUUUUAUUUUUUUUGCGAGUGAGAGCUGCUUAAAGCUAACUUGUUGGUUGGUGCUAACAGGAAGUCAAAAGGUCGUAAGUAUCUGAGUUGUUAAUUGUCCUAAGUAAGUGCCCAGUGCGUUACGGCUCGUAGAGAGCUGCUUAAAGCUAACUUGUUGGUUGGUGCUAACAUGAAGUCAAAAGGUCGUAAGUAUCUGAGUUGUUAAUUGUAUACCAACUAAGUUUGCCAUGUGAAAGAUCGAUUACUUCACAGAGGGGUGUGAAUGUUUCACAGAGGGGUGUGAAUGUGACUAGUUUUACUUCUUUCUUCAAAAAUGAAUCAACAGAGAUUUUACUUAGCAAUUUUAGAGUAGCAGCGGAAUGAAGAAAUAUGAACAAAUAAAAGAGUAACAAUGAAGACAAACACAAUAAGAACAAAUAUACUUCGACAGAAAGUAUGAGAUUGAGGAACGAUAUCACCAGAAGACGAAGAUACGGGGAUUUGUUUUCCGAAGUUCGGAUUGUUGGCACAAUCUUACGUCUCCGUUGAGGGGGCUGAGUUACACAAGACUCGCGGACACACAAGUCCAUCGAAUUCUCCUGAGCAAAGACCUAAGUCUCGUCCAGUUACUCGUGGUAGAUCUUGAGGUGAUCUCCGGACUUUCACAGACUGGUUGAUAGCGAAUCACAAGCUUCGAUUGCUCUUCAACACUGACUCCUAGCCGUCUAGGUGAUGCCAAUCACCAAGAGUAACAAGCUUCAAGUGCUCGGCUAGAGAGGGGAUCCUAUUCUUCACGCUCAGUUCAGCUCUAAUGGUUUUAUCUGGUGUUCUUCAAAACAACUCAUUGGGGGAUCACCACCGAACCCGUUCGGGAUGAGUCGUCUUAUAUAGUCUUGGCCACAGCCGAUCUAGCCAUUGUGACCCGUUGGAUAAAGUGAUUCCUGAGACUCUAGCUCACACUUUAUCUCUUUUUCUCACAACGGUUAGAUUAUGUGGUCAAAACAUAAAGCGACAGAUUUUCAAACACAUUUGAAAUCAGAGUGAAGACUUCACGCGGAAGUUUCUGUGAAGCCUGAAAUGCUUCAUUCUUCGCUCCAACAAAAAACACUCACACAGAAAAUGGUUUUCGCCUAAGCUGAACAUGAAGGAUAGGUUUCACCUGAACCAGCUCCACACUUCAAACCCCCCUUAAUAGUACUGCGUUCCUAUACUCAAGUGAAGAAAAAGCUACGGAAAGACCUAUGAAGAAAGCUACACUUCACAUUCUUCACCGUUCUUCACUGAGUUCUUCAUACUUCACGCCAGUACCUGUACUUCAAUUUUUAGGGGUCGUCGAUGCUGGUUAAACCAACUCUUCUGAGGAACUAAAACCUGAAACACUCCGUGUAACUCAUUAGUUCCUCAACAUUGUUGUCAUCAUUCAUCAAAACCCAUACAGGGGCAAGGUUUCCUUUCACCAUGCGUUGUUACCGCUCGUACAAAUUAUUUUAUCUUCAAAACUUAUACUGUUAAUUAUCUCUUAAUUGUUGUCUUAAGGGUUUGUGGCCGAUUUUGGGGUAGACCCAUUAGUUCUUUGUGCGGUGGGCCAAGCGUUGUUGAUGGGCUGCAGCCUGCCUAGCUUGUUGUCUUUCUUGGACCAGACAAAUUAAUUAUAUGUGCGAUGGUGGCAAAUAUUGGUGGAAUUAAUCGGUAGUAUAACCCUGCCUUGUUGUCGAUCUUGAGUCAGGCUUUUUUUCACAGCAAAAGCCCCCUUUAUUGAUUAUUAGUAACUAGGGUUGUUACAUCAUUAGGUAAAAGAGGGAUUAAGCAAGGGGUUGGAGAAUGAGCCCAAGACCCAACUCGAGAAUCUGGCUUGUUGAGCGAGUUCAUGAGCAACAUUGUUGGUUUUCCGACUAUAGUGGAUGAACUGCACAGUACCAAACUUUCUGAGCAGAUAGAAACAAUCUUCAAAAAUAGCGGAAGCAAGACCAUAAGCACGUUCCCCUUUGUUCAGCGUCUCCACCACCACGCUAUUAUCACAAUUAAUGAUGAUUCUCCUGCAACCCUGGGAAGACGCCAGCUCCAGCCCUAGCUGAACGGCAGCCGCUUCAGCCGAGAUUACAUCUUCAACUAGGGUAAUCGGUCAUUGGCAGCCGCUACAAACUCCCCAUUGGAAUUCCUGAUGACUGCUCCUACAGUUCCACUUAAAUCAUCACCAGAGAAGCUUGCAUCCACGUUGACUAAUCAACAGGUGGUUUCAACCACAUCUCAUUUUUCCUAACAGCUUUUGGAGAACUAGCAAUACUGCAAUUUCUAACCAUGCCCGAGGUAGCAAAAACUGAGCGGUGGUGUGGUAGAGAGUUGUGGACGAAGGAAACCAAUGGACAAAUGCUCCAAAUUAAGAGGUAGUAAAGAUAUUUAAUGAUUUCUUUUAGUAAAGCAUCCAGUGCUAUUAGGGUGCGUUUGGUUCUACUUUGCUUUUGGAGAAAACUGCUUUGCUUUUUCUGCUGUGGAAAAGCUGCUUUGCUUUUCCUGCUGUGAAAAAGCAGGAAGCGUGUUUGGUUAGGACAACUGCUUUUGCUUUUGUAAUUAUGUGAAGACUGCUUAUAUGUGAAUUGAUCGUAAAUUUAUGAUCUUUGCAUUGAUUGUGACGAUGAAGAAAAAAUUAAUUUUGAUUAUAAUUAUUGUUUACAUAAGAAAUAAAGACCUUCGUUCUAUAGUAUAACACAAAAUAUAUAUGGUUCACAGAUAAUGUAUGCCAUGGACAUAGCUAAACUACCUCGCUCUCGCAGCAAACAAAGCAUUGGCGAUCCUAUCACGAAUGAUGUUCAUCGUAACCACGCCAGGUCCCUCAGGAACGACAUAUCCGUCCUCUCCCUCUGGACCGUCAUCCCCUUGUGUCGUUCCAACCUCGGCCCCUUCAGGCAUGUACUCUUCAUCUGCAUCACAGCUAUCGAAUUCCACAUCGGGCAACUUGCUAUCACGAAUGAAAUUGUGCAAGGCAAUGCAAGCUAGAAUGAUCCUCGUUUGUGCUCAAGGCUUGAAACUUGGCAUAGAUUUUAAUAUACGCCACUUUUGCUUAAGAACCGCAAAUGAACGCUCAAUGACAUUGCGAAGGGAUGAGUGCAAGAAGUUGAAUAUCUCAUCCCUCCCUUGAAGUACACGGCCAUGACGAAGACGGAACUCCGGUAGAUGGUAUGUACUCCCCUUGAUCGGUGCAAGGUAUCUAGUUCGGUUAGGAUAACCAGAAUCCAUGAGGUAGUACUUGUCUACAAGUAAACAACAAGUUAGCUUUAAAAAAUGAAGAAAAAGAAUAUCAUCAAGAAUAAGUUUGUACCUUUGGGAGGGACGGGAAAAGAAGGAAAAUUUGCCAAUGCAUGAUUGAGGACCCUUGUAUCAUGUACAGAUCCGGGCCAACCAGCAACCGCAAAGAUAAACCUCAUGUCGAAGUCACACAUCGCUAGCACAUUCUGAGAUGUAUAUCCAUGUCGACAUGUGUAGUUCACCGUUUCAUCGGUUGGGACAAUAACAGGGAUAUGUGUUCCAUCAAUAGCGCCAAUAGCUCCCCUGAAAUGAGGCCAAAAACGUUCUUCUCUGACCUUAUCAUGUUCGACACUGAAAGUAGGAUCUCUCGGCUUGAUUUUGUGUUUCGAUAACUUGCACAGACAUCUCAAUACUUCCUUGAACUUUGUGUGAACUCUCCACAGCGACCGUGUAAAACGGUUUUCAACUUGUGCAAAUGAUUGCGGGCCUCCAACAAUCCAUAAGAACAUAGCUAAUGACUCAAUUGAUGAGACACGGCUAGUGGACCUCAAACCAUAGGACGACACCAACAGAUCAUGAAGUGCCAUAAAAACCUCAGGGCUCAUCCGAAACAUCUUAUAAAAAUAUCUAGGACGCUGAAAGCACCUCAUGACCCACUGCAAACCAGUUUCAGGAGUUGAUCUAUACGAAUCUUUCUUCAGUGUAGUUGUUACCCAUCUCUCCAAGGAUAGCAGCAUGACGAGCAAGUUCAGCUAGGUGUGCUAGUCCAUCCCGCCCCUUUUUGGCCACAUCCAACAUGCUUUCAUCCAUCUACAUCGGACAAAUAUAACUUCACAUCAAUAUGAUGGCAAAAAAUGAAAGAAAUGACAAGGACAAAAAUAUGACAGGGACAAUAACUCCUGGCAAAUAUGACAGGGACAAUAACUCCUGACAAAAAUAUGACAGGGACAAUAACUCAUAACACAAUAGAAGAUAACACGGUUCAAGAAAAAUAUUAAUGGUUCACAACACACAACUAGCAAAUAGGUAGUUCAUAACACAAGAGAAGAUAACAUGGGGCCAGCUACAUGUGCCUCGACUACUUCUCAUGCACCCUCUCCAGCAAAUCCAAUCUUCCUUCUUUUGUUUCCAGCAAGGUAAAGAUCUUCCUAAAUUCUGGCUUCACUAUCAGAAAGGUAGCCGUAUGCAUCAAAGCAGUCUUCUCUUUCACUCCACAUUCUUUUACCAACUUCAUAACCUCGGCAAUGGUAGGAAUUUGGUUGACUGAAGAAGGACCUGAUGAUGAUGAAACACUAUCAGAUAUCUUCUUUGAUGCAUCUCCUAUUUGUGCACAAGUGGUCUUGUACAAACGAAGGAAAGGGCUCUUCUCUUCCUUAUCUUGCUCAAUUUUGCGCUUCUUGGUUUCUUUUCCUUUCUUCACUGAAGGCAACUUCGGUGAAUCGAUGUCAUCAUCUUUCUCUACCUCCAUAAUAUAAUCAUCUCCGGAAUCAUCAGAAGAUAAAUCCCCAGGACAUGCUGCAGUAACCCCAGUGACAUGUGCAUUAGAAAACAAGAUGUCCAAAUCAUGCAGCUGACUGGGACCACGUUUCCUGAACCUCACAUGGUUGCACUUGAUUCCUUUUUCUGGAUUGUUGCAUUUCUACAAUUCAAGAAUAUGAGCAAGUUAACUAGUGCAUACGGAUUAGCAUGGUUUGUGCAGAAAACAUAAAAAUACAACUAUUCUUACCCGAAGAUGCUCAUCCCACCAUUCCUUUGAUGCAUCAACAAUAUUCGUUGCAUCAAUCCAUCCCAGACCAUUAGCGGCAUUUUUCAGCUCCAUAAACCAUGUAUAGGACUGUUUCAUGUUGUCCCAUUUGUUCUUAAAUUGUGUCUUGGCUAGUUUCUUUCCCGUUUUUGCAGCAAAUUUAUCCUCAAGGUUCUUCCAACCUUUGUUGUUCAAAUAGGUAGUAGGCCUAUUUCCAGCAAGUACCUCCUCUUUGCAAAUAUCAACAAAAUGUUUGACAUUUGCCUCAUCCCAAACUGCCUUCUCACCCAUACUUUAAUAAAAAAGUUUGGGACAAACAUUACUUCAGUGACAAUGCAACAAUCUAUACCAGCACAAUUCCAUAAUUGUAAUAAACAGUAUAUUAUUGUAAUAAUUCAUAAAUUAUUGUAACGAUCCAUAAUCAUAGCCAGACGAUUGUACUGCAGACACCGGCGUGAGGAUUUGGAGGAUGAUGCGCAGGGGGCUUUGGAGGGGAUUGGGGUGAGGAUUUGGAGGGGAUGAGGAGGCAUACCUGAGAAGAGGAAGCGCCGGUGGGGAGCAGGGGCGGGCCGCCGUCGGUGUCUGCAGGUUGGAGGGGAACGGGGUGAGGAUUUGGAGAGGAAGCGCCGGUCGGAGGCAUACCUGAGGAUCUGCAGCCUUUGUAAUACCUGAAGCGGGGGAAGCGGGGGCAGCGGGGGCGGCUCUGCUGCGCCUCCCUGUGGUCGGGCGCCAGAGAGGAAGUGGGGGACAGGCCGGGCCGGCGUCGGGCGUCGGGGCAGGGCGGCCUGGGACGGUGGUCGGGCAAGGAAGGCCGUCGGGGCGCACUGCCGGUGGGUAAGGAGGCGGGCGGGGACAAGCGUCGAGGCGCGCCGCCGCCGGUAGGGUUCGCCGGUGGGGGAAAGGGCUGGCGGCGAGGAGCGCCGGGUAGGGUUCCAGCAGCCUUGCUCGAUGCGGGAGAAGAAAGGUUGUGCCUUUUGUUUCGGUCGGGGCAGGGAAGGGUGCACGCGAAUCGUUUUCACUUAUCGGUGGCAAGGUGGGUAAUUAACCUGAAGUUGGCAAAGUAAAGCAACCCAAAAGUAUCUCUGGAUCUACUUUGAGAAUUGUACUACGAAAAGCAGAUUGCUUUUUUGCUUUUUGCUGUGGAAAAGAACCCUUUGGUUAGCUUUUUUUGCUUUUUGAAAGCAAAAGCAGAAAAGCACCCUAACCAAACGCACCCUUAGUCCGUCUAUUCCCGUCUAACUUUUUAAACUAAAAUCUUAUAAAAUAUAUCAACAACUAUGGUGCCAAAUGAGUGUCAUUAGAUUCAUUGUGAAAUAUAUCUUCAUAGUAUUUACGUCUGUCAUUGUAUAUGUUCAUAUUUUUUGCUAUAAAGUUUGGUCAAAAUUUAGAACGUUUGGCUGAUAACAUUUUCAUAAUAUUUUGGCUUUCUCUAAUCGAUAAGUUAACCUGAUGAUUAACCGUAUUACUAAGUAUGGAAAAUUCAUUGCUUAGAAAACAUAAGUACAUUUGAAGAUUGAUUAUAAAAUAGCACUGGCGGUCACUGAAUCUGGCAUGUUGUUAGAUGACGCCCUUAACGGUAUCAAAGCAUCUCUAGCAGACCCCACAAAAGCUGAUCCGGAAAAACACGUAUUCGGUAAGCUGAAAUUUUUGUUUUUCGGUACCAAUUUGGCUGGGACAGAACAGAUACCUCUUGCCUAAUCUGCAAAACCGGAUAUUCACACUUAGCCCAUGUGUGGUCCAUCUAGUGUCAUCUUCCUCCUUGCGCAAACACUGGCACGUAAAAACAUCACACACCUAUCUUUAUAAAUCACCGUCUAAUUCAUUAACUCUAAACCGUUUAUCCUCAAAUUGAACCUUGAGAUUUAGUCUUCAUCAACACAUAAACCGAUUCAGAUCGUCAAUGGCGACUCCAAUCAAACCCAAUCAAAUCGAAUGAGCGAAACAACUAAAAUCUGGACACAUAAAACCACGGCAAUUAUCCACAGCGGCACAACACAGCAAGCAACCGGCCGCUCGAGCUCGCGAACCUUUCGAAGGACUUCUGCCUCGUCACAGCGGCAGAGGCACAACCUCAGCGCCGACCACCUCUUCCUCAUCGCGGAGGACGCCACCAAGGGCAGAGGAGGUUGCGGGGGCUGCAGCGGCGCCGGCCAGAGGCAGGGAAGGACGCGGCGAGGCCGUGAAAUUUAGAAGGAGGCGGCGGCCGUAGGCUCGAAAUGGAAAGCGCGGGAUGAAUUUUCAUCGGGCCAACCGUUUUUUGGGAGAGGUAGGGUACCGAAACAUCUCGCGUGAAAACCUGGAGAGACAGCGUGUGAGCGGGUGAUAUUCGGUUGGUGCGGAAAAAAAUUAUUCGGGUUUCGAAAAUAAUUGGUAUCUAUUCGGAUCGUUUUUUAAAACAAAAAUCAUAAACUGACGGUUAUUUUGCGGAUCGGAACGAUACGGUGAUCUGCCUGCCAGAGAUGCUCUCAGAUAGCGUUGACCAUGGUUUCAACAAUCCAACCAACCCAUCCAGACCAGCCCACUUUAACCCAUAUAAGGAACUCUUAGGUGGGCUGGUUCCCUGAACCAAACCAGGCCAUUAUAUCCUUACCUUACGUGGAUGGUUUGGCUUAGAAGCGGCAAACCCACCCACGGAAACAGAAACACAUCGAGGAGAGUCUGGGCGGCGGCCGACUGCGAGGAAGAAUAGAACGAAGAAGAGGCUGGGCGACGGCCGGCGGCGAGGUGCCGAGAUGGCGGCGCCGGCGCUCUGCACCCGCUGCAUCUCCUCUCGUCGGCACGGCGCCGGCCCGGAGGUCGCUCGCGCGGCAGAUCUGGGCGGGAGACGGCGGAUCCGGGCGGGAGGCGGCGAGGUGAGGUAGACGGGGAGUCGAGGUGGAGCAGGAUCGGCGGAGGAUGCAGAGGGACGGCGGUUGUCGUGCUCCUCCAACCCUAAUCUCCCUGACAGCCGGAUUCAGAGGAUCGGCAUGCCGCGAGCUGGCCGCCGCGGCGUCGCGCACGACGUGGCCCACGCCGGGGUCGACGAGGACGGAGGCGACGAGCCGCUCGACCUCGCUCUCCGCCGCCACUGCAACAGAGCCCCGGGCGCCCCAGCUGCGGCUUCUUCCGCUGCGCCCGCUUCAGCGCCGCGAGGAACGCGUUCGACGGCGCCGGGACGUGGUUAUUGCAGCCGUCACUCGUGACAACGGCGAGACGGUCGAGGGCUGUUUGUAUAUGUAUGCCUUGUUUGCAUGCUUCUGUUAGUAGAAAUGUAGAACUGAUCUGUAGUAUAAAUUCUGCAUGUGUUCAGUUUGUCAUUAGAGAACCCACGAACCCAUCCAACACAAGCCAACCCACCGACUAAUUACAAUCCAGCCAACCCAUCUAAACCCAUCCAAACCAUAAUAUCCCCACCCACGAAAUUAAAUCGGGAAAACCCACCUAACCCGCUUCAACCCAACCAAGCAAACCUGACAGGCAUAUCAAAGUUAUCUUGGCGAGAGUGAGAGUCAAAGAAAUCAACCGUACGACGAUCAAUCCUGGAAGGACUUCAUGGAAAAUUUGAAGGCACGAAGAGUCAGUGCAGGAGAUAGUCUCCGAAAACCCCUCCAGAAUCACGAGUACCGAGUUACGAUUCUAAGAGGGCGGAUUCUCUCUUAACUUCUCCAGAGAUGUAAACCACACGUGGGUGGGUCCUUGACUUACAAUUCUUUUUUCUUUUUGGAACAAGGAGCGAGCUCCCGAUUUCAGUUCAGGUCCACACAAGGUUCAGACAGAAAAAGAGACAGUCGCCAGUUACUCCUGGACGACCAAACUUUACCGGUGACAAAACACCAUCCUCUAAAGCCUAUUACAGAAUCAAAGCGACCAACAGGCUGCAGAAUUAAAACACAUCAACCAGCUUCUAAACGUCUCCAGGAGCUCCACCCAUAUGACUUGUUCAGAAUCUCCACCACCACUUUCUUCAGAAUACUCGAAGCUCUCAACAAUUGCGCCUUUGUAUCAGGCUUCUGUAAAAUGGACCAAGCAUCAAUCCAGUAACAUAGUGAGAACACUAGAUUAGCGGGGGUACUUAUUUUGAAAACAGAUAGAAUUUCUACUCUUCCACAUGGACCAACAUAAAGCAGCAGAACCAAUAAUUAUUGCUUGCCUACACUUGGCGGAAAAAGAUUCAAACCAGGUAUGAAAAUCUGUCAUAGCUGUAGGAAAGGAACCAAAACCAAAAGUACCCAACUACCCUCCAAAUGAAUCUAGAAACUAGACAAGAGAGAAAUAAAUGAUCUAUAGUCUCAUCUCCUCCACAAAAUACACAUUCCUUGGGGUCCUUCCAGCCCCUAUGCAAUAGAUUAUCUCUAGUUAAGAUGCUAUUCCUUUCAACCAGCCACAUAAAUACCUUGAUCUUAAGGGGAAGUUUCGUUUUCCAGAAAUAUUUAAAGGGGAAAACAAUCUGUCUAGUUACCAGAACAUUGUAAAAGGACUUGACAGAGAAUUGACCAUUUUUUUUUCAAAAGCCAGCGGCCUAUCGGCUUGCUCUCCUGGAACUACUUGAGAACACAAGGCUUUGAGAUCCUCCCAUAACUAGAAUGUCUCGGGACUAAAGUUUCUUCUAAAAGUCAUAUGCUGACAUCCCCCAUGGAGAGCAUCAGCCACAGUGAUGUAAUGAUUCAUAGAAAUGUUGAAUAAUUUAUGAAACCUAUUGUUAAAAGACUCAUCUCCCAGCCAAACAUCCUCCCAGAACAAGACAUUCUUACCAUUACCAACUAUUUUCCUACUAAACUUAUUAUAAAUGUUCUAAUAUAAUAAAAUCCUUACACGGGCCGGGUCAAAAUCCUGCGUGGCGACGACCAAGUCAACAAACUCCAAAGGUCGGUCAAUUUGCCAACAAGGCAUAGUCAGGCCAACUAGGCGCCAAUCAAAAGAGUCAACGAGUUAAGCCUCUCAUACCAUGGUCAAAAGGGAAGAGGAGCUUGAGUAGGGGCCAAAAAAGGUGUAGGGAUGAGGCUUUUGGUUCAUGAUGGACCUCAAGGGUAGCCAUGAUCUUUUGACAUGGACCCCUAGGCUGUAAAUACCUCCUCCCUUCAUGAGGCAUGUAUCAUUCACUCUCAACUUGAAUAAGAUCAAAGGAGAGAGGGCUAGAGCAACCUAAGGAGUCUGCUCUCGAGUGCUUGGCUCGAGCCUAGACUCGACUCAACUUAGAAAGCCUAGUUUCGAGGUUCCGGGCCGUCUAGUACGGUCUCGACUCAAAGUAGAGGGAUCGGGUUAAAGUCUCGAGGGUAUCCCAACCUCGCUACUUGGGAAGACGAGUUCGGCCCAAGUCCGAGGCAGCUCCGAGAGAUCUCUCGUCAUAGGUGACUUGGGAAGACAAGUUCGGCCGAAGCACCUAGCAAACGACCCCCUCGAAGGCUCUUCUAACAUUGGACUAAGCCGUGCCCGCAGGAUCGACAGAACCUAUUUAAAAAAUAUCGACGUGUCAACUUGUUCAAGUGUACGGCGACAUUCGCUAUAAGACCGACGUACAUGUCCUACAUACUGUUCUCACACUUUUGCCAUCGAGCAUUGACAUCCCAUACUCUUGUUGUUUUCUAGAACAACAACAAUAAAUAUCUUUAACCUGCAUCAAGCCAUGCCAUGAAUGUGACUGACGAGUCUUAUUCUCACACUGACCAAGUGUCUCUUUACUUAAAUACUUAGCCCUAAGCAUCUGCUGCCAAAGACCAUUUCCAUUUUCAAGUCUCCACCACCAUUUACCUAAAUAACAAAUAUUCUUGACAGUUAAAUCAGCCACCACAAGCCCUCCUUGUUCUUUGGGUUGACAAAUUAUUGGCAACUCACGAGGUGGUCUCGACUUACAAUUCUAAGGAGAAGACGGCGGUGUGAGCAGUGUUCAUGUCGGAUCCGGUGGCUCCUGUGGUGGGCUGAAGUACGUCACUAUCUCGUUCACGGAGGAAAAUUGUUCCUCAACUCCGCAUUGCCAGAAAGACAUGUUCUAGACGUCUCCCCUAUCAUCGGCCGCGCCCGGGUACACCGCGUGUUGAUCGAUGGUGGCAGGGCAGCUCGUUUACGAUCAUUAGCUUGUGUACAGUAUCAUGUAGUACUCCGUAUUUUGUUGUGCACAUGUUUCUAGAGAUUAAGAGAACAUGCGGAUGUUCAACACUCCCUCAAAGAAAAUGUUGAGCAGAAUUGCCGAUUGCGGUACUGGCAUGAUCUGAUGGGAUCUUCUCUCUUUGCCUAUGUAUAGACCAUUAAUCAUAGCAUCAAACAAUUAGCAGUGAAGAACAACCCGCACUAACAUAUAAGUACUCCUACAAUAGUUGACCUACUGCAACCCCUUUAAAUAUGUGGUCAAAUCAUCUCAAAUAUCCAAGGUACAACUAACCUUAAAAUGGUCUCGGUCGAACAAAAAUAAUUACGCAAGUCCGCCAGUCAUCAUUGAUAACUAAUUCACUUUUAAACCUUCUACAUGCUGGCUCCUCUGAUGGUUUAAAGCUAAGCGACGGCGACUUAUGUUAUAAAAGUACAAGCAUCUUCGGUAACCCGGCAUGCAUAGGUUAUUAGGAACUGGUUCGUAAUGUCUAGUCAUUGAUGCUCACAUUUAUCAUUACUCAACUCAUCUGUAUCGGUAAGCCGACCCGUAACAGUGCUUUGAGUUAGUUAAGAGUUCAAAUAUGUGUUUAUGUCUAUUACAUAACUUGGAUAUAAGAAAAUUCUACUUUUGUGAUACAUACUGUACUACGUGUAACUCAUUUGGUUGGAAAAAUGGAUGUACAACUUUCUGUCACCUAAAUUCAAGCCUUUGCAGAUGUUAAUUUUUUUUAUAAGGAUAUUUCCUACGUUUUUCUUCAAAAGAUCCUCCGAAAUUGUGGUUGGGCGUGUUUUUCUUUUCUAAGAUUUUUUGUAUCCAAUUCUUCUGAUUAACCUUUUGGGUCUUUUCCUGAUUAACCUUUUGUAUCCAAUUCUUCUGAUUUUGCCGUUCCUGGAUACAAGAUGUUCUGACUCGUUCUAAGUCAAGAACUUCAUAAAAUUUGAUUAACUGUGUACAACAAAAUUUACAAACAUCGACAACUUAAAAUUAAUUUUAUUAUAUCCGUCAUAAAAUAUAUUUUCAUAGUAUUACUUAUUUGAUAUUGUAGAUUUUUUUUCUAGAAUACGCCUAGGCAGGCGUAUCAUAAUUAUAAGAAGAAUUACCGGGACGCGGUUAAAUGCCCGGAGGCCUUAGCGUUAGGGAUUACUCGCUUACAUUCCACGACUCACGCACCCUUACAAAAGGAGUUAGGGUUCUAUCCUUAAACAGUCCCGCGCUCUCCCAAGCGGCGCCUUCUUGCUCAAUAGAGUGAGCCACCAUCGACACGCACGGACGAACCCCCUCGAAAACAUUCCGGUGUCGCCAAAGGCACCAGCAAAUGAGGAUGAUUCUCGUAGCGAAGUCCCUGCGAGUUCUUCGGUCGUCAAAAUGUAGGCCGGACCACCACUGCAUCAAGCCAAGCUGACCACCCGGCACCAGAUCCAGCUGCCUCCAUCUCUUGAGGAAGAUGUCCCAAAUCUGUCCGGCGAAGACACACCCGACCAUAAGGUGGGAAAUGGUCUCAGGUUCCUGGUCGCAGGAGGGACAAUGCGCCGGGUGCGGCAUACCACGACGACACAAACAGUCUGUAGUCUAACAACGGCCUCUAAGAGCAAGCCAAACGAGCACCUUGCAACGGCUCGGUGCCCUAGAACUCCAGAGAUUGUCGGCACAUGGGGCAGCCUCUCUCCCGGAGAAGAAAGCACCGUAGGCCGAGGAUGCCGUGUAUAAACCGGAACGGUCUAGGUUCCACCUGAAGACGUCGUCGUCCGGCAACAGUUCCACCGCCUAAACCAGCUCCCAAACCGCAAAGAACUCAUCAAACUCCUGGCAGGCCAGAGAGGCACACACGCCAUGCACCCAAGCAUUGUCGUUCAAGGCAUCGGCAACCGAGAUCUUCCGAGCGCUAGGAGUCAAAAAAGCAGACAAGGUUGGAGCAAUCAUAUCGAGGCUCACACCAUCCAACCAACGAUCAAUCCAGAACAGUGUACGCUGUCCAUUUCCCACCGAGACCAUGACAGCCGCAUGAAACAAGUCAAGCGACUGAUCCGAGAUUUGCAGAUUAAGGUCAGCCCACGGUUUCGCACUAUCCGUCCUUUGGAGCCAGCACCAUCUAGCUCUCAAUGCCACAUUUAGUAGCCGUAGGUUCGGAAGACCUAGGCCACCCAUCAACUUCGGAGAGCAGACCGAGUCCCACACAACCAAGUAAUGCCCACCACGAACAUCGCGACGACCCUUCCAAAGGAAGCCACAACAAAUCUUUUGAUGUUCUCAAUGAGCUUCACCGGAAGGUCUAGGGAAAGCAUGGCAUAGACCGGCAUGGCACAAAGGGUCGACUGCACCAAAGUCAACCUGCCCCUGAAGGAGAGCAAGGGCGCCGACCACAUCUUCAGCUUACCAGCCACUUUAUCGAUGAGGGUGUGGAGUUGCGUCGCCGACAGUCUUCUCAGCCCGAGAAGAAUGCCAAGGUCGUAGCAAGGAAAAGGUUGGACCACACAUCCCAGUCUUUGUCCCACCAAGGCCUCCUGCUCAACGGUGCAACGAAUAAGGUGCGCUGAGGUUUUUCCAAAAUUAAUUCGGAGCCCCGAAGCGCAGCCGAAGUCCUCAAGAAUGGCAACACAAGCCUCCAGUUCCUCUUCCACAAGCUUAAGGAAGAUCACCGCAUCGUCCGCGAAGAACGAGGAGCGUUGCUUGAGACCACAACGAGCCAAAGGUGACAACAGACCACAUCGUUGAGCAUUCACCAUCAUAGCAUGAAGCACAUCCAUGGCAAGGAUGAAUAACAUGGGAGAGAGCGGGUCUCCCUGCCGCAAACCACGAUGGUGCAGGAUGUCCCUACCGGGGAUGCCAUUGACCAACUACCUAGUCGAGGAGGAGCCAAGUAAGGCACCAAUCCAACCAAUCCACCUACGGCUAAAGCCAAGCCAACGCAAGACAUCAAAAAGGAAGGACCAAUUCAACGAGUCGAAAGCAUUGGUGAUGUCCAACUUUAAAAGCACCGCGGGCUGCUUCAACUGAUGUAACCGUCGGGCAGCGCCUUGCACCAACUGGAAGUUAUCAUGGAGACAACGACCAUGCACAAAAGCACCCUGGUGGGCCCCCACAAGGCGAGGUAACUCCAGGCCAAGGUGGUUGGCCAACACCUUGGAGAUCAACUUACCGAUAGCAUGAAUAAGGCUAAUCGGCCGGAAAUCACGAAUGGAUUCCGCCACUUGCAGCUUGGGGAGGAGACAGAUAAGGGCCUGGUUAGUCGCCUCCAGGCCACGCACAUCAAGAGAGGUGAAGGCCCUGAAACAAGCCAUAAUGUCCUCCUUGAUAAUGGGCCAACACGAGGUGAAGAACCGUCCCGUGAAGCCGUCUGGGCCCGGGCAUUUGUCCGGCGAGAGAUUCCUCACUGCCAUCCACACCUCCUCCUCCGAGAAGUCGCCGUCCAGGCCCAAGGGAGGAGCCGAAGGCAGGCCCAAG